GGUUGCGAUCAUACCAGCACUAAUGCACCGGGAUCCCCAUCAGAACUCCGCAGUUAAGCGUGCUUGGGCGAGAGUAGUACUAGGAUGGGUGACCCCCUGGGAAGUCCUCGUGUUGCAACCC
rnacentral:rRNA from 1 species